rnacentral:rRNA from 1 species
CGCCUCUUGAAACAAAAACAUAAGAGGUCCCGCCUGCCCAGUGACUAUUAGUUCAACGGCCGCGGUAUUUUGACCGUGCAAAGGUAGCGCAAUCACUUGUCUUUUAAAUGAAGACCUGUAUGAACGGCACCACGAGGGCUCAACUGUCUCCUUUCUCCUGUCAAUGAAAUUGAUCCCCCCGUGCAGAAGCGGGGAUUCCCCCAUAAGACGAGAAGACCCUAUGGAGCUUUAGGCACCAGAACAGACUAUGUUAAGCACCCUAACACAAAAGACAAAACUAAUUAGGCCCUGUUCCAAUGCCUUUGGUUGGGGCGACCGCGGGGAAACAAAAACCCCCCAUGUGGAUUAGGAGUAACCCUUACUCCCACAACCCAGGACUACGGCCCUAAGUAACAGAACCUCUGACCAUAAAUGAUCCGGCACAGCCGAUCAACGAACCGAGUUACCCUAGGGAUAACAGCGCAAUCCCCUUCUAGAGCCCAUAUCGACAAGGGGGUUUACGACCUCGAUGUUGGAUCAGGACAUCCUAUUGGUGCAGCCGCUAUUAAGGGUUCGUUUGUUCAACGAUUAAAGUCCU